GAUCAUGGCUCAGGAUGAACGCUGGCGGCGUGCUUAACACAUGCAAGUCGAGCGAGGCGCUUAAGUUUGAUUCUUUGGAUGAAGACUUUUGUGACUGAGCGGCGGACGGGUGAGUAACGCGUGGGUAACCUGCCUCAUACAGGGGGAUAACAGUUAGAAAUGACUGCUAAUACCGCAUAAGACCACGGUACCGCAUGGUACAGUGGUAAAAACUCCGGUGGUAUGAGAUGGACCCGCGU
rnacentral:rRNA from 1 species